GGAAUAUUGGACAAUGGGUGAGAGCCUGAUCCAGCCAUCCCGCGUGAAGGAUGACGGUCCUAUGGAUUGUAAACUUCUUUUGUACAGGAAUAAACCUAGAUACGUGUAUUUAGCUGAAGGUACUGUACGAAUAAGCACCGGCUAACUCCGUGCCAGCAGCCGCGGUAAUACGGAGGGUGCAAGCGUUAUCCGGAUUUAUUGGGUUUAAAGGGUCCGUAGGCGGACCGAUAAGUCAGUGGUGAAAUCUCAUAGCUCAACUAUGAAACUGCCAUUGAUACUGUCGGUCUUGAGUAAAUUUGAAGUGGCUGGAAUAAGUAGUGUAGCGGUGAAAUGCAUAGAUAUUACUUAGAACACCAAUUGCGAAGGCAGGUCACUAAGAUUUAACUGACGCUGAGGGACGAAAGCGUGGGUAGCGAACAGGAUUAGAUACCCGUG
rnacentral:rRNA from 1 species